rnacentral:misc_RNA from 1 species
AUCUCCACCAUACAGGGAUAAGCGGCCUGGGAAUGAGGAAACCAGAGAACAAGUUCCAGAAGCUCAGGAAGAAGGACAUAACAAUUGCAGCAAUUUGAUGGCCAGGAGUCAGGGCAACAACCAUCAUUCCGUACAUUGAAAAGUAGGUAAAGCACAUGAAGAUGAAGUAGUAGAAAUAGAAGAAUUUGUCCACCUCCCACUCAUAGCCGAUCAUUGAGUACAAAAGGAGAGUAUAAAUAAAGGUUUGGAUUGCAACAUAAAUGGUCUCUACAGCCACAUGAGCAAAUGCAUAAGGCAACUCUGAAUACAUCCCUGCUGCUCUUUCACGAUAGAAAACUGUUCUCUCUACUGCCACAACAGAUUGCACAGCAGAAGCAUUGCUACCUCCAAGGAAAAGAAUAGCAGCAUAGGUAGCUCCAAGCAGAUUGGUCAGUUCUUGUCGUGUUUCUAUCUGGCCUCCUUUAUUCCAGAAG